CAUAUAGAUUUAUAUUAAAGAUAUUGUACCAAAGAGCAAGGUUAAAGCAUAGCACAGUCCCAGUAAAAUUCAAAGUCCUACCUUUCAGCUCAUUGUGUUAAAACUACAAUGGAUCCAGAACUGAGAAUGUAUCUUCAUAACAUUAUUGAAAAGGAGGAAGCUCCAUGUGUAUGAAGAUAUUCACCACACUAGCAUCUAUAAUUUUGAAGAUACUAAUAACCAUACAAGAAAAGUUCAGUGUGCCCUAGCAUUUACAAUAGAAUAUUCUACCAUUAUGAAGAGAAGUAACUGGAAGUCUGCACUUACAGCUAAAGGAGAGACCAAAAUUGUGUCUGCACUAUGAUUACAGUCAUGUGAAAAUAUGUAUUCUGUGGCCAAAACACAAAGUAUGCCAAGUAUCCAGUUAUUCUCUUAGGAAGGAAGGGAAUUGGGGGAUUAGGAAAGUGUCUUCCAACAUUAAAAAAGAAAAAAUCCUCAGUGUUUUUAUAGGAAGGAGUAUAGGCUAAGAUCUACUUCACAGGUGGUUCCCAGAUGUUUGGGAAUGCUUCCUAACACAAGGGGGUUUUGCACGUGGGCAGCCCCUGUUGACUGUCACUGUUCUAAAUAUUCCAUAAAAUCCCCAGGCAAAAAGUGCUUCCCAGGAACAUUAUCCUGCAUGGAUGGGACUCCUGUCAUUGGUGGCUGCCUAUUCCUUCUUCAGAGUUUUCCCAAUUUUAAGAGACUUCUGAAAUCUUUCCUUUUGUUUCCUCCUUGUUUUGUAUACUUGAAUUAUUAAUUUAACUAAUCAACUGGUGCUCACUAAAUGUUUCUGAAGAGCUUCUCCACUUGUUUCUAUGACUUGGGUGACAUUCAAUUCUGCACUCCAAUGGACACACUCCAAGGGUUCAAUGCC
rnacentral:lncRNA from 10 species